rnacentral:lncRNA from 1 species
UGCGAAGAUCGAAAAGGGCAUUCCGGUGCGUUUGUCGGCAAAAUCCGCCGACGGAACGCGGUUUCGGUUCGGAAUUAUUCCGACGGUGUCUCGGGAUGAUUUAUUGUGUCGCUGAGCCUAGUUGGCUGGUCACCCGUGUCAUUUCGAGGGUUCGGAAAUGACGGGUGAGCGACGGUGGGUUCCGGUGUCGAAAUAGACACUUCCGGGAACCCGGUUUGGAACGAUUAUCCGACGAUAAUCGUUUUGGAGUGAGUUAAGGUCUUUGCUGCCAAGUCACAUGUAAAUUGUAUUUAGUGGCAGCGGGUGACUCGUAGUACGAGUCGGUGAGUUCCGGGACAGUCCGUGGGUCCUGGCAGAGUCUCGGUGCGGUUUUUGGGACUUCCGGUUUGUUCGGUAAUCGGUUUUGGGAAACCGAUCUCCGUGGGAUUGUUUGUGGGUCGUGUAUUCAGUGGUUUAUUUGUGGGGUUAUGCUUUUAGGGUUUCUUAGUUGUGGGUU